UCGGGAUAGCUCANUUGGUARAGCAAAGGACUGAAAAUCCUCCUG
rnacentral:tRNA from 1 species